UUACUCAGGCGCACACAGAGAACUGAGAAAAGACACUUGGCCAACCCACUUCCCCUUCCUGUCAACAGCACGGUUCCUGGUUUUGGGUUCCGUCUUGAAGAUUUCCAUCAUCGGUUGAUCUACUUAUACUCCCGGUCAAAAUGUCCCUUGACUGAAUCGACAGCGCGAAUCAGACACGGGAUUACCUGCCUAGGAUAAAUCAUCAUGGUCUGCGAUGAUUACCGACUCUUUGUGCUCCUCCUGACCACAUCCUCCAUCGUUGCAGCGGUAAGCGAGGAGACUCUUAACGUCUACGCUCUGCUCGGCAGCAACCUAACCUUAUCGCUCGACCAAAAGCUGCUGAGCUACCAGGAUACAUUGCGGUGGACACACAACAACAAAGUCAUCUUCAGUAGGUUGUCCGGAGUCGUCCACCGGGGUAAGCCGACGGACAUCGACGCGGCUGGAUCCCUCCAGCUGCUCAACCUCAGCGACUCCAGCGCUGGGGACUACAAGGCAGACGUGUACGACAGGACCGGUGUGCAAUGGCUGGAGCGGAAAGGUGUACGUGGUCGAGAAAGUGUCGACGCCUGUGGUGACGAUUCUGUGCGGUUCUAGCGGCGUCACGGCCACACUGAAAUGCGAUGUUCUCAACCGGAAGUACGUGGUCUACGCCUGGACCCACGAAGGUCAGCUCCUGACAGGGGAAACAAAGCCCACGCUGAGCGUGUCUUUGGCGAAGUUCAAGGGCGAUAAAGGUUUUGGCUGCAGUGUGAGUAACAGCGCCAGCAAAGCCCAGAGUAACACUGUCCAGUUAAAGUGCAAGCCACCGCCGCCGCCACUGCCUCCGCCGACUCCGAAGGACUACUGCUUUAAAGCCAGCACAGUAAUGGCCGUGGUCUGAUUAUGCUGCUCUUCAUCAUCACCGUAGUCGCAUGUUCCCAACAGAAGAAGGUGGUGCAGGUCCAACCACCUGCAGCUGAACUCCUCCAAGACCAAGGAGAUGGUGGUGGACUUCAGAAGGAAGAAACCACAUCUCCUACCCGUGUCCAUCGAGGGGGUCGAUGUGGAGGUGGUCAGGACCUAUAAAUAUCUGGGACUGCAGCUGGACGACAAGCUGGACUGGACAGCAAAUAUGGAAGCUUUAUACAGGAAAGGGCAGAGCCGUCUGUACUUCCUGAGAAGGCUGGGGUCUUUCAACAUCUGCAAAAAACUACUGCAGAUGUUUUACCAGUCUGUGGUGGCCAGCGUGCUCUUUUAUGCUGUGGUUUGCUGGGGAGGAAGCAGCAGGAGGAGAGACGCUGGUCGAAUGGACAGACUGGUGAGGAGUGCUGACUCAGUAGUGGGAACAGAGCUGGACUCUCUGGUGACAGUGGCAGAGAGAAGGACCCUUGACAAACUGCUGUCCAUCCUGGACAACACCCACCACCCUCUGCAUGACACCUUCACCAGGCAGAGGAGUGUUUUCAGUGGCCGACUGCUGUCCCAGUCCAGCUCCACUAAUAGACU